AUGCGCUGCCCUACCCUGCCCGCUCCCCUGGGACCGCCCAGUCCUCGGACUCUGCCCUCGGGCCCUUCCCCAGAAGUCCUGCCCGCCAUGGGAAGAGAGAGGCUGAGACCCACCCCGAUGGAAGCAGAGAGGCCCUGGAAGGUGGGGGAAUGCGCCUUCGGUGCCGGCCUCCCCCCAACUCUAUUUCAGGCACCCCCACCCCACUCCCAGCAUCUGCCACUCACAUCAGCUUCUGCAGCAUUCAACGAGGUGGAGAAAGUGCUGAGCUUCAGGGAGGACCACGGCCCAGCCCCCUCCAAGGCAGGGACAGGCCUGGGCUGUCCUGGAGGCCACCAAACCGCCUGGGACAAGUAGGUACCACCCCGGAUCUGUGCUUCGGACGUCCUUUGAGGGGAAUCUCGUUUCACCACUGUUCUGUGUCUGACUUCUGGCCGCCGAACGGGGGCCCGUGUUCUGCACGAGGCUGACCAGGGGGACGGGGGACGGGAAGAGAUGGUUUUGGUACUUACUUUUCUUUUUGUCUCACAACAGGGGGGUUAAGGUUCUCGGGGGCUGAAGGAGCCGCUUGGGGCUGGCAGGCCUGGCUUUAUAGCGGCCGUCACCCCGGACCUGGGCAAAGGCGCUGUGGUUAUUAAUAGUGACUGCAGCUUCAUGCCCGUAUAUGGUCAAGGCCACGGCAGCUGCAGGCUCUGCCGGACUCAGGCCUCCUCCCAACACCUGCUCCGGGCCCUGACCUGGAGGCGCCGGGCAGCACUCGCCCCAUCCAAUGUGACUUGGCAAUGACCAUGUCGGAGACCCUAGAAUCAAACAAGACUCACAGUUGGGGGCCCUCCAGAGGGUGCCGGGUCCCGCCGCACCCCUUCCUUCCGCCCUCACCACCGUCUUGGGAGGCACAUGGAAUCCCUGUCCCUGGGGAGGGGGAAAUGGCAGAGAGAGAGGCAGCACUGUUUACCAGGAGCGCAGCCAGGAUGUGCUUAAACCCAGGACACAUUUUUGCAGACGGUGUGUAACUAAAUCCAGGCUGCGGCCUGAGGCCUCAAAUGGGUGUUCUGUGUCCUGUGCUGCCUUUACUCAGCCUGGGGAAACCGGGAGGACCCAUGGCCUCCUCCGCUCCUGCAGGUGCGAGCUGCGCAAAUCCUGCACUGCACUACAGGCCUGGCAACAGGAGCGAAACUCUGUUCUCAUAUAAAGUAAAUAAAAAAAAAUUAACAGAACUGGCAGUUGGG
rnacentral:lncRNA from 1 species